rnacentral:rRNA from 1 species
GACGAACGCUGGCGGCGUGCUUAACACAUGCAAGUCGAACGAAGUGGCGAACGGGUGAGUAACGCGUAAUCAACUUGCCCUUCAGAGGGGGACACCAGUUGGAAACGACUGCUAAUCCCGCAUACUGAAGAGGGGGUUUGCGUGUGAUUAGCUCGUCGGAGGGGUAACGGCCCACCAAGGCGAUGGUCAGUCGCCGGUCUGGGAGGAUGAACGGCCAAAUUGGGACUGAGACACGGCCCAGACUCCUACGGGAGGCAGCAGUGGGGAAUCUUCCGCAAUGGACGAAAGUCUGACGGAGCAACGCCGCGUGAGUGAUGACGGCCUUCGGGUUGGAAAGCUCUGUUAAUCGGGACGCGGUACCGGAAUAGGAAGCCACGGCUAACUACGUGCCAGCAGCCGCGGUAAUAC